UAUCCCUUAUGCUUCAGCUACGGGGAGCCUCAUAUAUUUUAUACUAUGUACAUGACCUAAUAUAUCUUUGCUCUGAGUAUCACGAGCAAAUAUCAGUUAAAUACAGACUGAGAGUACUGGAUAGCUGUGAAAAUAUUUUUAAGUAUUUGAAAAGUACUUAGGAUAUGUUUAUGAUCUUUGAGGAGAAUCAAAGCUGAGGGU
rnacentral:lncRNA from 1 species